GCCGAAGUGGCGGAACUGGUAGACGCGCACGACUCAAAAUCGUGUUCUUUCGGGAGUGAGGGUUCGAGUCCCUCCUUCGGCACCA
rnacentral:tRNA from 1 species